AGUGAACGCUGGCGGUAGGCCUAACACAUGCAAGUCGAACGGCAGCACAGUAAGAGCUUGCUCUUACGGUUGGCGAGUGGCGGACGGGUGAGGCAUACAUCGGAAUCUACUUUUUCGUGGGGGAUAACGUAGGGAAACUUACGCUAAUACCGCAUACGACCUACGGGUUAAAGCAGUGGAUCUUCGGACCUUGCGCGAUUGAAUUAGCCGAUGUCGGAUUAGCUAGUUGGCUAGGUAAAGGCCCACCAAGGCGACGAUCCGUAGCUGGUCUGAGAGGAUGAUCGGCCACACUGGAACUGAGACACGGUCCAGACUCCUACGGGAGGCAGCAGUAGGGAAUAUUCGACAAUGGGCGAAAGCCUGAUCCAGCAAUACCGCGUGAGUGAAGAAGGCCUUCGGGUUGUAAAGCCCUUUUGUUGGGGAAGAAAAGAAGCAGGUUAAUACCCGGCUGUUCUGACGGUACCCAAAGAAUAAGCACCGGCUAACUUCGUG
rnacentral:rRNA from 1 species